rnacentral:rRNA from 1 species
GACGAACGCUGGCGGCGUGCCUAACACAUGCAAGUCGAACGGGGAGUUACUUGUAACUCCUAGUGGCGAACGGGUGAGUAACGCGUAGACAACCUACCUCUAAAAUGGGGACAACACCGCGAAAGUGGUGCUAAUACCGAAUGUGGUAUCUUGGUCGCAUGACUAAGAUAAGAAGGAUGGCCUCUACAUGUAAGCUAACGUUUAGGGAUGGGUCUGCGUCUGAUUAGCUAGUUGGUGAGGUAAUGGCUCAGCAAGGCAACGAUCAGUAGCCGGUCUGAGAGGAUGAACGGCUACACUGGGACUGAGACACGGCCCAGACUCCUACGGGAGGCAGCAGUGGGGAAUCUUCCGCAAUGGACGAAAGUCUGACGGAGCAACGCCGCGUGAGUGAAGAAGGUCUUCGGAUUGUAAAACUCUGUCGUUUGGGACGAACGUAUCCUGGGUAAACAAUCCAGGGUAAUGACGGUACCAAAGGAGGAAGCCACGGCUAACUACGUGCCAGCAGCCGCCGUAA